AAUCAACGCUGGCGGCAUGCCUAACACAUGCAAGUCGAGCGAGAAAGUGUAGCAAUACAUGAGUACAGCGGCGCACGGGUGAGUAACACGUGGAUAACCUGCCUCAAAGUGGGGAAUAACACCGGGAAACCGGUGCUAAUACCGCAUAUUCUGACGAGAUCUGCGGAUUUCGGCAGGAAAGGAGCAAUUCGCUAUGAGAGGGGUCCGCGGCUGAUUAGCUAGUUGGUGAGGUAAUGGCUCACCAAGGCUUCGAUCAGUAGCCGGUCUGAGAGGACGGUCGGCCACACUGGAACUGAGACACGGUCCAGACUCCUACGGGAGGCAGCAGUGGGGAAUUUUUCGCAAUGGGAGCAACCCUGACGAAGCAAUGCCGCGUGGAUGAUGAAGUAUCUCGGUACGUAAAAUCCUUUCGACGGGGACGAAACCGCAAGGUUGACGGUACCCGUAGAAGAAGCCCCGGCUAACUCCGUGC
rnacentral:rRNA from 1 species